GAACGCUGGCGGCGUGCCUAAUACAUGCAAGUCGAGCGAACAGACGAGGAGCUUGCUCCUCUGACGUUAGCGGCGGACGGGUGAGUAACACGUGGAUAACCUACCUAUAAGACUGGGAUAACUUCGGGAAACCGGAGCUAAUACCGGAUAAUAUAUUGAACCGCAUGGUUCAAUAGUGAAAGACGGUUUUGCUGUCACUUAUAGAUGGAUCCGCGCCGCAUUAGCUAGUUGGUAAGGUAACGGCUUACCAAGGCAACGAUGCGUAGCCGACCUGAGAGGGUGAUCGGCCACACUGGAACUGAGACACGGUCCAGACUCCUACGGGAGGCAGCAGUAGGGAAUCUUCCGCAAUGGGCGAAAGCCUGACGGGGCAACGCCGCGUGAGUGAUGAAGGUCUUCGGAUCGUAAAACUCUGUUAUUAGGGAAGAACAAAUGUGUAAGUAACUAUGCACGUCUUGACGGUACCUAAUCAGAAAGCCACGGCUAACUACGUG
rnacentral:rRNA from 1 species